UACGUAGGUGGCAAGCGUUAUCCGGAUUUAUUGGGCGUAAAGCGAGUGCAGGCGGUUCGAUAAGUCUGAUGUGAAAGCCUUCGGCUCAACCGGAGAAUUGCAUCAGAAACUGUCGAGCUUGAGUACAGAAGAGGAGAGUGGAACUCCAUGUGUAGCGGUGAAAUGCGUAGAUAUAUGGAAGAACACCGGUGGCGAAGGCGGCUCUCUGGUCUGUUACUGACGCUGAGGCUCGAAAGCAUGGGUAGCGAACAGGAUUAG
rnacentral:rRNA from 1 species